UACAGAGGGGGCAAGCGUUGUUCGGAAUUACUGGGCGUAAAGCGCACGUAGGCGGAUUUGUAAGUCAGGGGUGAAGUCCCGGGGCUCAACCUCGGAACUGCCUUUGAUACUGCAAAUCUCGAGUCCGGAAGAGGUGAGUGGAAUUCCUAGUGUAGAGGUGAAAUUCGUAGAUAUUAGGAAGAACACCAGUGGCGAAGGCGGCUCACUGGUCCGGUACUGACGCUGAGGUGCGAAAGCGUGGGGAGCAAACAGG
rnacentral:rRNA from 1 species